rnacentral:tRNA from 1 species
GGCUCAUAUAGCUCAGUCGGUAGAGCACUUGCUUGGUAAGUAAGAGGUCACCGGUUCAAGUCCGGUUAUGAGCUCCAC